GUAGAGGGGGGUAGAAUUCCAGGUGUAGCGGUGAAAUGCGUAGAGAUCUGGAGGAAUACCGGUGGCGAAGGCGGCCCCCUGGACAAAGACUGACGCUCAGGUGCGAAAGCGUGGGGAGCAAACAGGAUUAGAUACCCUGGUAGUCCACGCCGUAAACGAUGUCUACUUGGAGGUUGUGCCCUUGAGGCGUGGCUUCCGGAGCUAACGCGUUAAGUAGACCGCCUGGGGAGUACGGCCGCAAGGUUAAAACUCAAAUGAAUUGACGGGGGCCCGCACAAGCGGUGGAGCAUGUGGUUUAAUUCGAUGCAACGCGAAGAACC
rnacentral:rRNA from 2 species